rnacentral:rRNA from 1 species
CUACGUAGGGCGCAAGCGUUGUCCGGAAUUAUUGGGCGUAAAGAGCUCGUAGGCGGCUUGUCACGUCGGGUGUGAAAGCCCGGGGCUUAACCCCGGGUCUGCAUUCGAUACGGGCUAGCUAGAGUGUGGUAGGGGAGAUCGGAAUUCCUGGUGUAGCGGUGAAAUGCGCAGAUAUCAGGAGGAACACCGGUGGCGAAGGCGGAUCUCUGGGCCAUUACUGACGCUGAGGAGCGAAAGCGUGGGGAGCGAACAGG